AGAGUUUGAUCCUGGCUCAGGACGAACGCUGGCGGCGUGCUUAACACAUGCAAGUCGAACGAGGCAGCGGCCUUCGGGCCGUUGUCGAGUGGCGAACGGGUGAGUAACACGUGAGGAACCUGCCCCGGAGACCGGGAUAACCAGGGGAAACUCUGGCUAAUACCGGAUGCCCCCGGAUGGUCGCAUGGCCAACCGAGGAAACGCUCCGGUGCUCCGGGAGGGCCUCGCGGCCUAUCAGCUUGUUGGUGGGGUAACGGCCCACCAAGGCAUCGACGGGUAGCUGGUCUGAGAGGACGAUCAGCCACACUGGGACUGAGACACGGCCCAGACUCCUACGGGAGGCAGCAGUGGGGAAUAUUGCGCAAUGGGCGAAAGCCUGACGCAGCAACGCCGCGUGGGGGAUGACGGCCUUCGGGUUGUAAACCCCUUUCAGCAGGGACGAAAAUGACGGUACCUGCAGAAGAAGCCCCGGCCAACUACGUGCCAGCAGCCGCGGUAACACGUAGGGGGCAAGCGUUGUCCGGAUUU
rnacentral:rRNA from 1 species